AACGAACGCUGGCGGCAGGCCUAACACAUGCAAGUCGAACGCUCCAGCAAUGGAGAGUGGCAGACGGGUGAGUAACGCGUGGGAACCUACCCUUUGGUUCGGAAUAGCUCAGGGAAACUUGAGGUAAUACCGGAUAAGCCCUUCGGGGGAAAGAUUUAUCGCCAACGGAUGGGCCCGCGUCGGAUUAGCUAGUUGGUAGGGUAACGGCCUACCAAGGCGACGAUCCGUAGCUGGUCUGAGAGGAUGAUCAGCCACACUGGGACUGGGACACGGCCCAGAAUCCUACGGGAGGCAGCAGUGGGGAAUAUUGGACAAUGGGCGCAAGCCUGAUCCAGCCAUGCCGCGUGAGUGACGAAGGUCGUCGGAUUGUAAAGCUCUUUUGGCGGGGAAGAUAAUGACGGUACCCGCAGAAUAAGCCCCGGCUAACUUCGUGCCAGCCGCCGCGGUAA
rnacentral:rRNA from 1 species